CCUACGGGUGGCAGCAGUCGAGAAUCAUUCACAAUGGGGGAAACCCUGAUGGUGCGACGCCGCGUGGGGGAAUGAAGGUCUUCGGAUUGUAAACCCCUGUCAUGUGGGAGCAAAUUAAAAAGAUAGUACCACAAGAGGAAGAGACGGCUAACUCUGUGCCAGCAGCCGCGGUAAUACAGAGGUCUCAAGCGUUGUUCGGAAUCACUGGGCGUAAAGCGUGCGUAGGCUGUUUCGUAAGUCGUGUGUGAAAGGCGCGGGCUCAACCCGCGGACGGCACAUGAUACUGCGAGACUAGAGUAAGGGAGGGGUAACCGGAAUUCUCGGUGUAGCAGUGAAAUGCGUAGAUAUCGAGAGGAACACUCGUGGCGAAGGCGGGUUCCUGGACAUUAACUGACGCUGAGGCACGAAGGCCAGGGGAGCGAAAGGGAUUAGAUACCCCUGUAGUC
rnacentral:rRNA from 1 species